rnacentral:misc_RNA from 1 species
UGCUGGCAGAUCUCUUGUGUGCG